AGUUAAUUAGUUUAAAUACAAUUAUAUCUUGAAAAUAUAAAAAAGAAUUAAUUUUCUAUUAACUU
rnacentral:tRNA from 1 species